rnacentral:tRNA from 1 species
GCCGAAGUGGCGAAAUUGGUAGACGCGCACGUUUCAGGUGCGUGUGCCUUCGGGUGUGGGGGUUCGAGUCCCUUCUUCGGCACAA